rnacentral:tRNA from 1 species
AGCUUCGUGGUUCAGCUGACAGAGCGGUUGCCGCGUAGAGGCAUGGUGUUUCUGUCGCUGGUUCGAAUCCAGCCGAAGCCC